GACGAACGCUGGCGGCGUGCCUAAUACAUGCAAGUAGAACGCAGACGCGAACGGGUGAGUAACGCGUAGGUAACUGCCUCAUGGAGGGGGAUAACUAUUGGAAACGAUAGCUAAUAACGCAUACUGUGAGAUGGACCAGCGUUGUAUUAGCUAGUUGGUGAGGUAAAGGCGCAUCAAGGCGACGUUACAUAGCCGACCUGAGAGGGUGGUCGGCCACGUUGGGACUGAGACACGGCCCAGACGGAGACGGGAGGCAGCAGUAGGGAAUCUUCGGGAAUGGACGGGGGUCUGACCGAGCAACGCCGCGUGAGUGAAGAAGGUUUUCGGAUCGUAAAGCUCUGUUGUUAGAGAAGCGGUAACUACCCAGAAAGGGACGGCUAACUACGUGCCAGCAGCCGCGGUAAUUC
rnacentral:rRNA from 1 species